rnacentral:rRNA from 1 species
CUACGGGAUGCUGCAGAGAGGAAUAUUGCACAAUGGGGGGAACCCUGAUGCAGCAACGCCGCGUGGAGGAUGACGCAUUUCGGUGUGUAAACUCCUUUUAUAUGUCAAGAAAAUGACGGUAGCAUAUGAAUAAGCACCGGCUAACUCCGUGCCAGCAGCCGCGGUAAUACGGAGGGUGCAAGCGUUACUCGGAAUCACUGGGCGUAAAGGACGCGUAGGCGGGCUUGUAAGUCAGGUGUGAAAUCCUACAGCUUAACUGUAGAACUGCACUUGAAACUACGAGCCUAGAGUAUGGGAGGGGGAGAUGGAAUUAGUGGUGUAGGGGUAAAAUCCGUAGAUAUCACUAGGAAUACCUAAAGCGAAGGCGAUCUCCUGGAACAUAACUGACGCUAAGGCGUGAAAGCGUGGGGAGCAAACAGGAUUAGAUACCCCCGUAGUC